rnacentral:lncRNA from 1 species
AUAAGGGAGCUACCAUUUGAUUUUUAUGGGGGGGCUAGGAUGAAAAAUUUGGUCCUGCAUUUUUUUUUAGUUGUAAUCUCUGUCCUGCCUUUUUAUUUUUCACUCUAUUCGGUCCUGCCUUUUUUUUUUAGUUUAUCCUGACUUUUUUUACCUAAAUUGUCAUCCUGCCUUUUUUUUUUACUCAAAACUCCUGUCCUGCCUAUUUUUUUCAAAUUUCAUCCUAGCCCUCCCAUAAAAAUCAAAUGGUAGCUCCCUAAAUUCAUGA